rnacentral:lncRNA from 1 species
AUGCUCAAAAUUCUCCAAGCCAGGCUUCAGCAAUACGUGAACCGUGAACUCCCUGAUGUUCAAGCUGGUUUUAGAAAAGGCAGAGGAACCAGAGAUCAAAUUGCCAACAUCCGCUGGAUCAUGGAAAAAGCAAGAGAGUUCCAGAAAAACAUCGACUUCUGCUUUAUUGACUAUGCCAAAGCCUUUGACUGUGUGGAUCACAAUCAACUGUGGAAAGUUCUGAAAGAGAUGGGAAUACCAGACCCCCUGACCUGCCUCUUGAGAAAUCUGUAUGCAGGUCAGGAAGCAACAGUUAAAAGUGGACAUGGAACAACAGACUGGUUCCAAAUAGGAAAAGGAGUACGUCAAGGCUGUAUAUUGUCACCUUGCUUAUUUAACUUAUAUGCAGAGUACAUCAUGAGAAAUGCUGGACUGGAAGAAACACAAGCUGGAAUCAAGAUUGCUGGGAGAAAUAUCAAUAACCUCAGAUAUGCAGAUGACACCACCCUUAUGGCAGAAGGUGAAGAGGAACUAAAAAGCCUCUUGAUAAAAGUUAAAGAGGAGAGCGAAAAAGUUGGCUUAAAGCUCAACAUUCAGAAAACGAAGAUCAUGGCAUCUGGUCCCAUCACUUCAUGGGAAAUAGAUGGGGAAACAGUGGAAACAGUGUCAGACUUUAUUUUUGGGGGCUCCAAAAUCACUGCAGAUGGUGACUGCAACCAUGAAAUUAAAAGACGCUUACUCCUUGGAAGCAAAGUUAUGACCAACCUAGAUAGCAUAUUGAAAAGCAGAGACAUUAGUUUGCCAACAAAGGUCCGUCUAGUCAAGGCUAUGGUUUUUCCACUGGUCAUGUAUGGAUGUGAGAGUUGGACUGUGAAGAAGGCUGAGCGCCGAAGAAUUGAUGCUUUUGAACUAUGGUGUUGGAGAAGACUCUUGAGAAUCCCUUGGACUGCAAGGAGAUCCAACCAGUCCAUUCUGAAGGAGAUCAACCCUGGGAUUUCUUUGGAAGGAAUGAUGCUAAAAACUGAAACUCCAGUACUCUGGCCACCUCAUGAGAAGACUUGA